AACGAACGCUGGCGGCAUGCCUAACACAUGCAAGUCGAACGACACCUUCGGGUCUAGUGGCGCACGGGUGCGUAACGCGUGGGAACCUGCCCGUAGGCUCGGAAUACCUCCCCGAAAGGGGUGCUAAUACCGGAUAAUUUCUUCGGACCAAAGAUUUAUCGCGCUUGGAUGGGCCCGAGUUGGAUUAGCUAGUUGGUAGGGUAAAAGCCUACCAAGGCUACGAUCCAUAGCUGGUCUGAGAGGAAGAGCGGCGACACUGGGACUAGGAAACGGCCGGGAAUCUUGCGCGAGGCGGCAGAGCGGAAUACAGCACUAUGGGCGAAAGGCUGAUCCAGUAAGGCUUCGUGAGUGAUGAAGUCGGUAGAGUUGUAAAGCUCGUUUACCCGGGAUGAUAAUGACAGUACCGGGAGAAUAAGCACCGGCUAACUCCGUG
rnacentral:rRNA from 1 species